GAAUUACUGGUACCAGACACUUCAGCGCAUAAUCAUGCUCCAGAUGCCCUUGGCCCUCACCUUGCUCUAGUUGUUUUAAACAAUCAAGUUCAAUUAAACAAACAUGAAAUCAGUUGAGGGCUUUCUUCGGACAAGGCAUAAUGCUGGGUUGUGGGCAAUAAUGGAAUGGUGACUGAGACACAAAAUGCACAGGGUCCCUGCCCUCACGUGACAGACUGUAAACACGAGUAAUAAGCUUUGCCCAAGGUCCUGGGACACCAACAGGGCGGGGUUCACCCUUCUCUGUGCCUCCUGAAGCUCUCACACACUGCAUCAUCAAAAGUUCACUGGCUGGACCUGAACUCACAGAACAGGCCAACUAAGAAAUCAACCCAAGGAAUGGCUAGGAUAUCUGCACUCAAACUUGACUGCGAAGAGGAUUGGCCAUGGAGCCCUGAACAAGGACACACCCAAUCGAUCAUCCCACUCAGCAGUGACCUCCCGCUCCUUGGCCAAGCACGUGAGGCCUCCCUUCUGCACCUGACACCCCUGCUCACCUUCUCCUUAGCAGUAUGAUGCCUGCCCCGCCACAGUUGCAGCCCCUUUUCCUGAAGACCAGAUUCCAUGUCCUGCUCCCCCCGCCCCCAGCUCUGGCAGUUCAGGAAGCAUCCAUCAGCUGGUGGAGGGAACAGGUCUGGGCAGGAAAGGAUGGUGACACCCUUAAGGCACAGCCAAAGAUCCCGAGCAGAAGCUUAGCUACCCCUGGAGAAAGUCUGAACCAUAGACUCCUGACCCAUCCACACCUCUCACCUGUUCUGAGAGUCAGAACCCUUCACA